rnacentral:rRNA from 1 species
GACGAACGCUGGCGGCGUGCUUAACACAUGCAAGUCGAACGGAAAGGCCCUGCUUUUGUGGGGUGCUCGAGUGGCGAACGGGUGAGUAACACGUGAGUAACCUGCCCUUGACUUUGGGAUAACUUCAGGAAACUGGGGCUAAUACCGGAUAGGAGCUCCUGCUGCAUGGUGGGGGUUGGAAAGUUUCGGCGGUUGGGGAUGGACUCGCGGCUUAUCAGCUUUUUGGUGGGGUAGUGGCUUCCCAAGGCUUUGACGGUAGCCGGCCUGAGAGGGUGACCGGCCACAUUGGGACUGAGAUACGGCCCAGACUCCUACGGGAGGCAGCAGUGGGGAAUAUUGCACAAUGGGCGGAAGCCUGAUGCAGCAACGCCGCGUGCGGGAUGACGGCCUUCGGGUUGUAAACCGCUUUCGCCUGUGACGAAGCGUGAGUGACGGUAAUGGGUAAAGAAGCACCGGCUAACUACGUG